rnacentral:rRNA from 1 species
CCUACGGGAGGCAGCAGUAAGGAAUAUUGGUCAAUGGAGGAAACUCUGAACCAGCCAUGCCGCGUGCAGGAUGACUGCCCUAUGGGUUGUAAACUGCUUUUAUACGGGAAGAAACCCCGCUACGUGUAGCGGGUUGACGGUACUGUAAGAAUAAGGACCGGCUAACUUCGUGCCAGCAGCCGCGGUAAUACGAAGGGUCCAAGCGUUAUCCGGAUUUAUUGGGUUUAAAGGGUGCGUAGGCGGCUUUUUAAGUCAGUGGUGAAAGCCUGAUGCUCAACAUCAGAACUGCCAUUGAUACUGAAGAGCUUGAGUACAGUUGAGGUUGGCGGAAUGUGUCAUGUAGCGGUGAAAUGCUUAGAUAUGACACAGAACACCGAUUGCGAAGGCAGCUAGCUAAGCUGUAACUGACGCUGAUGCACGAAAGCGUGGGGAGCAAACAGGAUUAGAUACCCUGGUAGUCCACGCCCUAAACGUUGAUAACUCGCUGUUGGCGAUAUACUGCCAGCGGCCAAGCGAAAGCAUUAAGUUAUCCACCUGGGAAGUACGGUCGCAAGAUUGAAACUUAAUGAAUUGACGGCUGAAGNGCGACGAGCACGAGGGAGGGAGAGG